rnacentral:rRNA from 1 species
GACGAACGCUGGCGGCGUGCCUAAUACAUGCAAGUCGAGCGCAGGAAGCUGACGGAACUCUUCGGAGGGAAGGCAGUGGAAUGAGCGGCGGACGGGUGAGUAACACGUAAGGAACCUGCCUCAAGGAUUGGGAUAACUCCGAGAAAUCGGAGCUAAUACCGGAUAGUUCAACGGACCACAUGGUCCGCUGAUGAAAGGCGCUCCGGCGUCACCUUGAGAUGGCCUUGCGGUGCAUUAGCUAGUUGGUGGGGUAACGGCCCACCAAGGCGACGAUGCAUAGCCGACCUGAGAGGGUGGUCGGCCACACUGGGACUGGGACACGGCCCAGACUCCUACGGGAGGCAGCAGUAGGGAAUCUUCCACAAUGGACGAAAGUCUGAUGGAGCAACGCCGCGUGAGUGAUGAAGGUUUUCGGAUCGUAAAGCUCUGUUGUAAGGGAAGAACACGUACGAGAGGAAAUGCUCGUACCUUGACGGUACCUUACGAGAAAGCCACGGCUAACUACGUGCCAGCCGCCGCCGUAAGAC